AAACCAUAUGUGUCAAACUCAAGGCCCGCGGGCCACAUCCGGCCCGGCAUGUAAUUAUAUCCGGCCCGCGAGAUCAUUUUAUAUAUUAUUGUUAUUAAUGGCCCGGCGAUAUGAAGCACUGGUAACACAAUAAACUACAGAUCCCAUAAUGCAGCGCUUCAGCUGCCUUGCCGAACACUUCCCGCGUUAAUCAAGUCUAGCUUAUGAUGCUGCAAGUUAUUGCGAAGCUAGCCCUCACGAUGCCGAAGAGAAAAGUUGAUUCUGAAAACAGAGCCUUUAAAAACCGAUGGGAGGCUGAGUAUAUGUUUACUGACAUUGCCGGUAAACCCGUGUGUCUCAUUUGUGGAGCUAAUGUGGCUGUAAUUAAAGAAUGUAAUCUAAGACGGCACUAUGAGACAAAACAUCAGGAUAACCUGAAAGACCUGAAUGCAAAGCAGAAGAUACAGAAAGCAGAAGAGUUAAAGAAGAAUCUGACACUUCAGCAGAUGUUUUUUUUACCCGUGCAAAAUCACAAAGUGAAGCUGCUUGAAGCUGCUUUUAUGGGAGACACAAAUGCACCAGUGCAACUUGCCCCACUUUCCCUGUUGCCAAGUAAUGUUGAACCAAGUCGGCACAACAGUGUUCCCAAAUACGCACUUUGCUGAUAAACUGAGCGCACUGAGUUCGCACAGCGCUUUGGUGACUUUGAAGAACAAAAAAAGAAUUUUGAGUUGCUUCGCAACCCAUUUGCCGUCGAUGUGGAAACUGCACCUGUGCAGAUUCAGAUGGAGCUGAUUGAGCUGCAGUGUAAUGGCACACUGAAGGCAAAGUACGA